UACGGGGGGGGCAAGCGUUGUUCGGAAUUACUGGGCGUAAAGGGCUCGUAGGCGGCCAACUAAGUCAGACGUGAAAUCCCUCAGCUUAACUGGGGAACUGCGUCUGAUACUGGAUGGCUUGGAUUCGGGAGAGGAAUGCGGAAUUCCAGGUGUAGCGGUGAAAUGCGUAGAUAUCUGGAGGAACACCGGUGGCGAAGGCGGCAUCCUGGACCAAUAUUGACGCUGAGGAGCGAAAGCCAGGGGAGCAAACGGG
rnacentral:rRNA from 1 species